CUCGUAAGGGCAUAUGGUGAAUGCCUUGAUAUAAGAAGACGAUGAAGGACGUAGCAGCCUGCGAUAAGCUUCGGUUAGGUGGCAAGCAACCUUUGAUCCGAAGAUUUCCGAAUGGGGAAACCUGCCUUGUUGAAGACAGGGCGCCCCUCACUAUUUUUCGAUGCUGAAUAGUUGAUAUUUCAAUCAUUAAAAUAUCAAUAGAAACAAAUAAGUUUAUUCGGACACGGAAAAUAGUGAGGGGGGAUAACCCGGUGAACUGAAACAUCUUAGUAGCCGGAGGAAAAGAUAACAACUGUGUGCUUCGCUUAUACUCAAAAUUUUCUUAAUUUUGCGUAUAAGCGAAAGCAUUGAUUCCCUAAGUAGUGGCGAGCGAACGGGGAAAAGCCUAAACCUCAUAAACCGCGUUUAGAAAAGCCUUCGGGCUGAUCUGAACAGAAGGGUCCAGGCCCACAUGUUUAUGGGAGGAUGCAAGACAUAGGCUUCCACCCCCUGGAAAGGGUGGGGUAGAGAUAAAAGUAUGACUUCAAGUUGAACAAAGCUGGAAAGCUUUGGCCAAAGAGGGUGAUAGCCCCGUAAAUGAAAGAAGUUCAUUGCUCUACUGUUUAUGUUCUUAAGUAGUGCGGGACUCGUGAAAUCCCGUAUGAAUCCGGGUCGACUAUGAUCCAAGGCUAAAUACUUCUUAUAAUCGAUAGUGAACUAGUACCGUGAGGGAAAGGUGAAAAGCAUCCCUGCUAGGGAGGUGAAAUAGUACCUGAAACCAUAUGCUUACAAAGAGUCGGAGUCCCUCACCAUUUUUCGUGAAUUUAUAUAGUGUAAAUUCUAUUCGUGGAAAAUGGUGAGGGAUGACGGCGUGCCUAUUGAAGAAUGAGCCAACGAGUUUGCUGUAUGCGGCUUGCUUAACCCCGUUUCGGGGGAAGGCACAGUGAAAGCGAGGGUUAACCCCCGUUCGUCGCAUACACAAGACCCGAAGCCGGGUGAUCUAACCAUGACCAGGUUGAACUUCGUCGAAAGACGGAGGGAGGACCGAACCCACUAGUCGUGCAACACUAGGGGAUGAGUUGUGGUUAGCGCAGAAAUUGUAAUCGAACUCGGCAAUAGCUGGUUCUCCUCGAAAUAGCUUUAGGGCUAGCGUUAGAUGCUGACUACCGGGGGUAGAGCACUGAAUGAGGCAGGAGCCGCAAGGUAUCCUCCUUAACCAAACUCCGAAUACCGGUAGGUGUAAUCUAGCAGUUAGACUGUGGGGGCUAAGCUUCACUAGUCAAAAGGGAAACAGCCCAGACCGCCAUCUAAGGUCCCUAAAUAUAUGCUAAGUGUGAAAGGUUGUGUCGCGACUGCGACAACUAGGAGGUUGGCUUAGAAGCAGCCAUCCUUUAAAGAUAGCGUAACAGCUCACUAGUCAAGUUGUUUCGCGCCGAAAAUUUAUCGGGGCUAAGCAUAUUACCGAAGAUGCGGAUUCCAUGUUUACAUGGAGUGGUAGAGGAGCAUUCUUAUCAGCGUUGAAGUCGGAUCGUGAGGUCCGGUGGAGCGAUGAGAAGCGAGAAUGUUGGCAUAAGUAGCAAAAAGGCAGGUUAAAACCCUGCCCACCGAAAGCCUAAGGUUUCCUGGGCAACGCAAAUCGACCCAGGGUUAGUCGGUCCUAAGAUGAGGCCAUUGUAGUGGUGGCGUAGCCGAUGGAUGAGCUGGUUAAUAUUCCAGCACUACUUAUAUUUUCCAAUGGGGGGACGGAGUUCUAAAUUUCAAGCGUGCUACUGGUAUGUGCGUUGCUUGCUUUAAGACCGCAGUUAGGUAAAUCCGGCUGCAUCCGGUCAAGAAGUUGGCAAAAGGUGUUUCCUUCGGGUUGCGCCAAUUUGGGAGAAAGAGCUUCCCAGAAAAACCUCUAGGGUUAAGAUAUAAGUAUCCGUACUAAAACCGACACAGGUAGGCGAGGCGAGAAGCCUCAGGUGUACGAGAGAACCUUCGCUAAGGAACUCGGCAAAACAGCGGCCGUAAGUUCGCAAUAAGGCCUUCCCUCACCAUUUUGAGUAGAACCGAAAUCUAUGAAUUACUUAAUUUCGCAGAAAAAGAGUAUCCAUAGAUAAAGGUUAUAUCCAAAAUGGUGAGGGACGCAGCUAAAGAGCUCAAGGGACUGUUUACCAAAAACACAGCUCUCUGCUAAAUCGUAAGAUGAUGUAUAGAGGGUGACGCCUGGCCAGUGUCCAAACGUUAAGAGGAGAGGUUAUCCCUCACUACUUUGAGAAUAACAAAGGAUUAGAAUUGAUUUUUAUCUAAAAAAUAAUUUAAUUCUUAAUAACAAGUUAUUUCCAAAGUAGUGAGGGAGAAGCUUUGAAUCCAAGCGUGGAUGAACGCCGGCGAUAACUAUAAUCGUCCUAAGGUUCUUUGACUGAUAAAUAUUUUCGGUCAAAGAAGGACUGGGACGAUUAUGGAUAAAUUCGUUGCCUGUUCAUAGCGCAAGCUAUGACCGUCCUAAAAACUCAGCUAUAUGCGUGGAAAUCCUCAAAAGAUCCUUAGUACCAGCUUGGAAAGAUCCCGAGCGGUAAAAAUCUAAAGAUACACGGGGAAAACGCGCAGGAUCUAAUUAUUAAUUUGAUCCUCAGAGACUACCAACUGAGGUCCUGGUAAAUAUGAACUUAAAUCCUUAUUGGGUUACCGGUUUUUCAGACGGGGAAGGAACUUUUUAUGUUGGGAUAAACAAGAAUGAAACAAUGACUGCCGGAUAUCAGGUAUUGCCUGAAUUCAGGAUAGUCCAACAUAAAAAAGACAUUAAACUUCUAUAUGCCUUAAAAGAUUUUUUCGGAUGCGGAGUGGUAAGAGUAAACCACGAUAGCCGAUAUGAACUGAGAAUAAGAUCUUUAGAGCAUUUAGAAAAUGUGAUAAUUCCUCACUUUGAUAAACAUAAGUUGAUGACCCAAAAACAGUUUGAUUUCAUUAAAUUCAAAAAGAUAAUACGGCUAAUGAGAUCGAACAAGCAUUUAAAGGCUGAUGGUAUCAAGGAUAUUAUCGAGAUAUCAUCAAAAAUGAAUAGACAGAAUAAAGAAAAAGCCUUGAAAAUAGUAGAUGAACUAGGAUAAAGAAUAGUCCAUGCCCGAUAUAAAUAUCGGGAAAGGUAAUGAGCGAAAUUCCUUGUCGGGUAAGUUCCGACCUGCACGAAUGGCGUAACUACUUGAGCACUGUCUCAGCGAAGGACUCGGCGAAAUUGCAAGACGAGUAAAGAUGCUCGUUAACCGUAGCCGGACGAAAAGACCCCGUGAAGCUUUACUACAACUUGAUAUUGAGUUUGGGGCAUGCAUGUUCAGUAUAGGUGGGAGAUCUUCGGAUCAUCAGUGAGAUACCACCCUUGUAUGCUUUAAAUUCUCACCCCAAGCCUUGAAUCAGGAUGGGGGACAGUGUCUGGUGGGUAGUUUGUCUGGGGCGGAUGCCUCCCAAAAGGUAACGGAGGCGUUUACAAAGGUUGGCUAUCUCGGAAUGGAAACCCGAGAGAUAGUGUAAAGGCACAAGCCAGCUUUACUGCAAGACCCACAAGUCGAGCAGUUGCGAAAGCAGAACUUAGUGAUCCGACCGUUCGAUAUAGGACGGCGGAAGCUCAUCGGAUAAAAGUUACUCCGGGGAUAACAGGCUAGUCACGCCCAAGCGUCCACAGCGACGGCGUGGUUCGGCACCUCGAUGUCGGCUCGUCGCAUCCUGGGGGUGGAGAAGCUCCCAAGGGUUGGGCCGUUCGCCCAUUAAAGCGGCACGCGAGCUGGGUUCAGACCGUUCAGAAGCUGAUAGAUCGGCUUUUGAACCAUCUGAACCCAGAGGUAAAGACAUCAUAAACGGCGGCGUAUCCGAGCAAUCGGAUAUUGAUAAGCUGACUCAUAUCGAUGGAAUCCUGACAAGUUGAUAUUUAACCUGUCAUAUGUUAGGAUAAUAUCGAGGGAAGUCGCUUAUGCUUAAAAAUAUUUCUACUAACAAAUUAGCUUAUAUUGCAGGCUUUUUGGAUGGAGAUGGAAGUAUAUAUGUUAGAAUGAAGCUAAACAAUGAUUACAGAUUUGGUUUUCAAAUCUCACCGUAUAUUGCUUUCUUCCAAUCCAAUAAGGCAAAAGGUAAUUUCAGCAAGAUCUGUUCAAUGAUCGGAAUCGGUAUAAUCAGAGAAAGAAAGGAUGGUAUAAUGGAAUACACCAUAAAUAAGCAGAAAGAAAUAUUGGAAUUUCUAUCAUUGGUGAAACCGUUUCUUGUUUUAAAAAAGAAACAAGCGGACCUUAUGAUAGAGAUAUUGAAGAAAAAGAAUAAUGUAGAAGAUUUUGAUGAUUUUAAGCAGUUGGUUGACAUGAUAGAACUGUAUAGAGAAAUUAAUUAUUCACAAACGAGAAAAAAGCAUAAGUUGACCCCGUAGAGACUUAAAAACUCAAGAAGAGUUUUUAGAGUGAUAUUAUAAAUAUCGCUAAAACGUCAGCCUCCCGAAAAAAUUUCGGGAUGAAAGUAUAGUCCAUACGCUUAGUAAUAAGCGAUAAUAUGCGUAAGACAGGUCGGUCUCCUAUCCGCUACGGUCGUGGAAACUUGAGAAGGCUCUUCCCUAGUACGAGAGGACCGGGAAGGACGAAGCUCUAGUGUACCAACUGUCCCACCAGGGGCACUGCUGGGUAGCUACCUUCGGUUUGGAUAAGCGCUGAAAGCAUCUAAGCGCGAAGCCGUCUUCAAGAUUAGGUUUCAUAGGUACGUGGGAGACUACCACGUUGAUAGGCUCUAUGUGUAAGUAUGGCAACAUAUUUAGCAGAGGAGUACUAAUAUACCAUUAGAUUUU
rnacentral:rRNA from 1 species